rnacentral:sRNA from 1 species
AUCUAAUGGAUGAUGGGUAGAGCUUAGGUGGGAACAGAAGGAAAAUGUUCUGAAAGUCGUGGGUGAGCCUGUACUGUGUGCUUAGUAAGGGGGAACUGGGCUUCUACAAGGACUCCAAGGGCCCGGCAUCCGGGAGCACACACGGUGGGGAACCGCUGCUCAGCCUGCACAAGGCCACCAGCGAGGUGGCUAGUGACUACAAGAAAAAGAAGCAUGUCUUCAAGCUCCAGACCCAGGAUGGCAGUGAGUUUUUGCUCCAGGCAAAAGAUGAGGAGGAGAUGAACGGCUGGCUGGAGGCUGUGGCUUCCUCGGUGGCGGAACACGCAGAGAUCGCCCGCUGGGGCCAGACACUACCCACUACUUCAUCCACAGAUGAGGGCAACCCUAAGAGGGAAAGCGGGGAUCGCAGGGCCAGCGGGCGCAGGAAGUGACUUCCCACCCCCAGGACCUGACACAUCUCGUCUCCCCUCUUUUCCGCACUGUGGGCACAAAGACACUUUUUCUUCCGCAGGGGCGGGAGCCCCU